rfam:Parcubacteria (Magasanikbacteria) bacterium GW2011_GWA2_42_32 TV20_C0042, whole genome shotgun sequence.
CGGGCUAUAGCGCAGUUGGCUAGCGCGCACCCUUGGGGUGGGUGAGGUCGGCGGUUCAAGUCCGCCUAGCCCGA